GGCCUCCAGAUGUGCAAGGACCAGAAGCCAUAUUGACAAUUCUAAUCCCGCCAAUUGGACAAGUUAACAAUUAAAAGAAGGGUUACAGACCUGUUUACCCAUUCUGAUGUCUAUCAGUAGAAUUGUCAGUAGUUUUGCAAUGUUGUCAGUAGUACUCUCGAUGAGUGCCGCGUAGCGGCACGAACCUUCUAGGGGGGUUUGGGCGCAUGCCCCCCCCCCCCCCCAUGAAAAUUUUGAAAAAUUAGAUGCAAUUUCCUGCAUUCUGACAGUAUCUGCAGUCUUAUUCAGACAUGUUUGGAACAAAGAUUUUGACCAAGAUUAU
rnacentral:lncRNA from 1 species